rnacentral:rRNA from 1 species
ACGAACGCUGGCGGCGUGGAUAAGACAUGCAAGUCGAACGGGGCGUAGCAAUACGCUCAGUGGCGCAAGGGGUGCGUAACACGUGGGCAACCUGCCCUGAAGUUGGGGAUAGCCCGCCGAAAGGCGGAUUAAUACCGAAUGUGGCUAGUGGCCGAUUGGUCGCGACGCUAAAGGCGGGCGCAAGCUGCCGCUUCUGGAUGGGCCCGCGGCCUAUCAGCUAGUUGGUGAGGUAACGGCCCACCAAGGCUUUGACGGGUAGCUGGUCUGAGAGGACGACCAGCCACACUGGAACUGAGACACGGUCCAGACACCUACGGGUGGCAGCAGUCGAGAAUUUUUCGCAAUGGGGGAAACCCUGACGGAGCGACGGCCGCGUGGAGGAUGAAGGUCUUCGGAUUGUAAACUCCUGUCAUUGGUGAACAAGGUAUUCACGUUAACCGCGUGGGUGCUUGCUAGUAGCCGAAGAGGAAGGGACGGCUAACUCUGUGCCAGCAGCCGCGGUAAUACAGAGGUCCCGAGCGUUGUUCGGAUUCAUUGGGCGUAAAGGGUGCGUAGGCGGUUUGCUAAGUUUGAUGUGAAAUCCCGGGGCUUAACCCCAGGACUGCAUUGAAUACUGGCGGACUAGAGUACUGGAGAGGAAACUGGAAUUUACGGUGUAGCAGUGAAAUGCGUAGAGAUCGUAAGGAAGACCAGUGGCGAAGGCGAGUUUCUGGACGGUUUACUGACGCUGAGGCACGAAGGCCAGGGGAGCAAACGGGAUUAGAUACCCCGGUAGUCCUGGCAGUAAACGGUGCGCGUUUGGUGUGGGGGAAUCGACCCCUUCCGUGCCGGAGCUAACGCGUUAAAACGCGCCGCCUGGGGAGUACGGUCGCAAGAUUAAAACUCAAAGAAAUUGACGGGGGCCCGCACAAGCGGUGGAGUAUGUGGCUUAAUUUCGAUGCAACGCGAAGAACCUUACCUGGGCUUGACAUGCAUCACUAAGUCGGUGAAAGCCGGCGAGUCUAGCAAUAGACAUUUUUGCACAGGUGCUACAUGGCUGUCGUCAGCUCGUGUCGUGAGAUGUUGGGUUAAGUCCCGCAACGAGCGCAACCCUUGUGGCCUGUUGCUACCGAGCUUUGCUCGAGCACUCUGGCCAGACUGCCCUGUGAAACGGGGAGGAAGGUGAGGAUGACGUCAAGUCAGCAUGGCCCUUACGCCCAGGGCUGCACACGUACUACAAUGCACAGUACAGAAGGAGCCGAGACCGCGAGGUGGAGGAAAUCACGAAAACUGUGCCCAAUUCGGAUCGCAGGCUGCAACUCGCCUGCGUGAAGCCGGAAUCGCUAGUAAUGGCGCAUCAGCUACGGCGCCGUGAAUACGUUCCCGGGCCUUGUACACACCGCCCGUCACAUCAUGGGAGUCGUUUGUACCCGAAGUGCACCUUUGGUGCCCUAAGGUAUGAGCGGUAACUGGGAUG